rnacentral:rRNA from 1 species
GACGAACGCUGGCGGCGUGCUUAACACAUGCAAGUCGAGCGGUAAGGCCCUUUCGGGGUACACGAGCGGCGAACGGGUGAGUAACACGUGGGUGACCUGCCCUCAGCUCUGGGAUAAGCCUGGGAAACUGGGUCUAAUACUGGAUAUGACUCCACGGUGCAUGUCGUGGGGUGGAAAGCCUUGUGCGGCUGAGGAUGGGCCCGCGGCCUAUCAGCUUGUUGGUGGGGGAUGGCCUACCAAGGCGACGACGGGUAGCCGGCCUGAGAGGGCGACCGGCCACACUGGGACUGAGACACGGCCCAGACUCCUACGGGAGGCAGCAGUGGGGAAUCUUGCGCAAUGGGCGAAAGCCUGACGCAGCGACGCCGCGUGAGGGAUGACGGCCUGGUGUAACGUACUU